rnacentral:rRNA from 1 species
AAAUUGAAGAGUUUGAUCAUGGCUCAGAUUGAACGCUGGCGGCAGGCCUAACACAUGCAAGUCGAACGGUAACAGGAAGCAGCUUGCUGCUUCGCUGACGAGUGGCGGACGGGUGAGUAAUGUCUGGGAAACUGCCUGAUGGAGGGGGAUAACUACUGGAAACGGUGGCUAAUACCGCAUAACGUCGCAAGACCAAAGAGGGGGACCUUCGGGCCUCUUGCCAUCAGAUGUGCCCAGAUGGGAUUAGCUUGUUGGUGAGGUAACGGCUCACCAAGGCGACGAUCCCUAGCUGGUCUGAGAGGAUGACCAGCCACACUGGAACUGAGACACGGUCCAGACUCCUACGGGAGGCAGCAGUGGGGAAUAUU